AUUGAACGCUGGCGGAAGGCCUAACACAUGCAAGUCGAGCGGAGCGGCGGACGGGCGAGUAAUGCCGAGGAAUCUGCCAGGUAGUGGGGGAUAAAGUCCGGAAAAGGGCGCUAAGACCGCAUACUCUCAGAUGAGCAUAUGUCGGCUUAGCUAGUUGGUGGGGUAAAGGCCUACCAAGGCGACGAUCCGUAACUGGUCUGAGAGGAUGAUCAGUCACACUGGAACUGAGAGACGGUCCAGCAUCCUACGGGAGGCAGCAGUGUGGAAUGUUGGACAAUUGGCGAAAGCCUGAUCCAGCCAUGCCGCGUGUGUGAAGAAGGUCUUCGGAUUGUAAAGCACGUUAAGUUGUGAGGCGUUACCAACAGAAUAAGCACCGGCUAACUUCGUGCCAGCAGCCGCGGUAAUUC
rnacentral:rRNA from 1 species